rnacentral:tRNA from 1 species
GGAGGGGUGGGUGAGCGGUUAAAGCCACCAGACUGUAAAUCUGGCCUCCGGAAGGAGUUCGUAGGUUCGAAUCCUACCCCCUCCACCA